GGUCAUGUGACGUCAUGUGACCAUCUCCACCACCGUAUCAGGUCAGACAGCAACUUUGCUUACGUUUUAUGAGAUACUUUAACAAAUACCUUUAGACCUAUGUACUGUUAUACAUUAUAAAGUACUUUAACUAUUACCUGUAGGCCCGUGUACUGUGAUGAACAGUGAUACAUUCUGAAAUACCUUGACUAAAUACCUUCAGAUCUAUGUACUUUGAUAAACUGACACAUUACUGUGAUAUAUUGUAUGAAAUAAAGUCAUUAAUGAAAGUAAUGUAUCACAUUCAUAUAUCACAGUAAAUUAACACAGUGAUGUAUGCAUGUGAUACAUGACUUUCAUAAAUGACUGUGAUACAUUACUGUGAUAAUCUGUGAUAAAUGACUGGGAUAUAUGACUGGGAUACAUGACUGUGAUACGUGACUGUGAUACGUGACUGAUAUAUGACUGUGAUACAUCACUGUUACACAUUAAUGUGAUAAACUGUGAUACAUUACUGUGAUACAUUACUAUUAUACAUUACAGUGCUAUGUGACUGAUACAUGACUUUGAUCAUUACUGUGAUACAUGGCUCAUGUAUCACAGUAUCACAUGACUGUGAUACAUGACUGUGAUUCAUGAGUCAUGUAUCACAGUCAUGUGUCAGUCAUAUAUCACAGUCAUGUAUCACAGUCAUGUAUCACAGUCAUGUAACAUGACUGUGAUACAUGACUGUGAUACACAGGGGUGAAGACGAAGCUGCGUAGCUGAUGCGCGGAGAGGCGUAGGGAGAAGGGCGUGGCCUGCUAGCUGCUAGCGUUGAGCGGGCUUGACGGGGGGAUGAGGUCUGUGGGGCCGGUCGUGGUCCUCUGCUUGGCCCUCCUCCUACUGUCCCCGGCUCCGCCCACUGAGGGGAGCCUGCCAGAGCUCACCAGCCCCGCCGCGGACCAGCUGGGACCGGUACGUACCUAAUGCAUACUUAUACUACACUUUAUAUGAUAUAUUAUUGGUUAUGAUAAACUUUACAAUAUACGUUAUAGUACACAUUCUCCUGAAUGCUAAAUAUUACAUAUUAUGCUACACUUUGUUAUAUGAUAAAUUACACUUUAAAUAAUAUAUUAUAGGUUAUACUAAACUUUACAAUAUAUAUUAUACUACUCUUUCUAUUAUAAACUAUAGAUACAACUACAUUUCUCUCUCUCUCUCUCUCUCUCUCUCUCUGAGGGAUAUAAUGAAUAAAUACAUAAAUACAGGUAGAAUCUAAAUCUAAUUUUAGACAUAGCUGCGUCUGAUCAGUGAUAAGGCGGUUUCCCCCCAGGUGAGCCCCCCCCCUGGCAGGGCGGUCUCCCCCCACUCAGACAACCGACUCCCCGGAGUGUGUCGACGCCUGCGCAGACGGAGAAUCACCGUCCUGGUAAACCCAGAGAACUACUAACAGACCUGAUAAUAAUACUGAGAACUAAUAACAGACCCGAUAAUACUACUGAGAACUACUAGAUAAUACUAGGGAGAACUACAAACAGACCCGAUAAUACUACUGAGAACUACUAGAUAAUACUAGGGAGAACUACAAACAGACCCGAUAAUACUACUGAGAACUAAUAACAGACCCGAUAAUACUACUGAGAACUACUAACAGACCUGAUAAAUACUAGGGAGAACUAAUAACAGACCCGAUAAUACUACUGGGAACAACUAACGGACCCGAUAAUACUACUGGGAACAACUAACAGACCCAAUAAUACUACUGAGAACAACUAACAGACCCGAUAAUACUACUGAGAACUACUAGAUAAUACUAGGGAGAACUACAAACAGACCCGAUAAUACUACUGAGAACUAAUAACAGACCCGAUAAUACUACUGAGAACUACUAACAGACCUGAUAAAUACUAGGGAGAACUACUAACAGACCCGAUAAUACUAGUGAGAACUAAUAACAGACCCGAUAAUACUACUGGGAACAACUAACAGACCCGAUAAUACUACUGGGAACAACUAACAGACCCGAUAAUACUACUGGGAACAACUAACAGACCCAAUAAUACUACCGAGAACAACUAACAGACCCGAUAAUACUACUGGGAACAACUAAAAGACCCGAUAAUACUACUGGGAACUACUAAACAGACCCGAUAAUACUACUGGGAACAACUAAAAGACCCGAUAAUACUA
rnacentral:lncRNA from 1 species